rnacentral:lncRNA from 1 species
CCUUUUGCUUGUGAGAAAAGCCACAACCAAUCAUUACAUAUUUGAUUUAUGUUACUCUUUAGUAUUACUUAUUUCCGUUUAAUAAAAUUAUUAUUAUAUUGGUUAUAGAAGCAGUAAAAGGAGUCUUGAGCCAUAUAAGCCUCUCUCAACUACCCUCUCUAGUUAGCUCUGCGUAUUACCCUUCUUUAUAAAAUAUAUAUAUAUAUGUAUCUAUCAAGAAUCAUGCAAUGCAAGCGUUGACUAUUACUAAUUAUAAAUUAAACAUUUUUGUAAGGCAAGAGGGGGAACUUACAUCAUGAAUCAUACCCCAUAUCGACGUGAUAACUUUUAAUACCAAAC